rnacentral:misc_RNA from 1 species
AAGUCGUAACAAGGUUUCCGUAGGUGAACCUGCGGAAGGAUCAUUAGCGAAGCUCGGAAUGCCAGUCCGGUACUGCAGCUGCCCAGCGAUGGGAUGUGCUCGUCUGGGCUGGUGUCCCUUCUCUAUUCCACCCCACUGUGAACCAAGCGUGCGAGCAGAAGAGAGAUCGGAAGCUCGCAUGCUCACUUUAACAUACCCCCGAUUAAGUAUCUGAAUGUACCUUGCGUUAACUCGCACAAACACAACUUUCAACAACGGAUCUCUUGGCUCUC